GCAGGGUCUUUGAUUGCGGCGGCGGUGAAGCAGUACGCUAGCGAGAACGAAGGAGGAGGAGCGAAGUCGAAGAGGAAUUCGAGACGGCGGCGGUUAACUAGCGAUCAGAGAAGAGGCGGAAGAAGAUUUUUCACCGAUUAUGGAAACUGUUGGAGCGGAGAGAGCGAGAACGGUGGCGGCGGCGCCGGAGGAGGGAUGGUGGUUAUUACACGGCCGAAAGGAGGGAACCGAUCUCUGUGUAUGGAUUUGGGAGAAGUGAAGGC
rnacentral:lncRNA from 1 species